rnacentral:tRNA from 1 species
GGGCUAUUAGCUCAGUGGUAGAGCGCGCCCCUGAUAAUUGCGUCGUUGUGCGGGCGAGGUCUCUGGUUCAAGUCCAGGAUGGCCCA